rnacentral:rRNA from 1 species
GUGAGGAAUAUUGGACAAUGGGCGCAAGCCUGAUCCAGCCAUGCCGCGUGCAGGAAGACGCAUCUAUGGUGUGUAAACUGCUUUUGUACGGGAAGAAACACUCCCUCGUGAGGGAGCUUGACGGUACCGUAAGAAUAAGGAUCGGCUAACUCCGUGCCAGCAGCCGCGGUAAUACGGAGGAUCCAAGCGUUAUCCGGAAUCAUUGGGUUUAAAGGGUCCGUAGGCGGUUUAAUAAGUCAGUGGUGAAAGCCCAUCGCUCAACGAUGGAACGGCCAUUGAUACUGUUAGACUUGAAUUACAAGGAAGUAACUAGAAUAUGUAGUGUAGCGGUGAAAUGCUUAGAUAUUACAUGGAAGACCAAUUGCGAAGGCAGGUUACUACUUGUGGAUUGACGCUGAUGGACGAAAGCGUGGGGAGCGAACAGGAUUAGAAACCCGGGUAGUCC